rnacentral:hammerhead_ribozyme from 1 species
GUCCAGCUGACGAGUCCCAAAUAAGAUUAAACUCACGUCCUAGAU